AUUGAACGCUGGCGGCAUGCCUUACACAUGCAAGUCGAACGGCAGCACGGGUGCUUGCACCUGGUGGCGAGUGGCGAACGGGUGAGUAAUAUAUCGGAACGUACCUUAUCGUGGGGGAUAACGCAGCGAAAGCUGCGCUAAUACCGCAUACGCCCUGAGGGGGAAAGCGGGGGACCGUAAGGCCUCGCGCGAUUAGAGCGGCCGAUAUCUGAUUAGCUUGUUGGUGGGGUAAAAGCCCACCAAGGCGACGAUCAGUAGCUGGUCUGAGAGGACGAUCAGCCACACUGGGACUGAGACACGGCCCAGACUCCUACGGGAGGCAGUAGUGGGGAAUUUUCCACAAUGGACGAAAGUCUGAUGGAGCAACGCCGCGUGCAGGAUGAAGGCCUUCGGGUUGUAAACUGCUUUUAUCUGUGAAGAUUAUGACGGUAGCAGAUGAAUAAGGAUCGGCUAACUCCGUG
rnacentral:rRNA from 1 species